GCAAGUCGAACGGUAGGAAAUCUUCGGAUUUCUGAGAGUGGCGAACGGGUGAGUAACACGUAGAUGAUCUACCUUUUAGUUGGGGAUAGCCCAUGGAAACAUGGAGUAAUACCGAAUAAUCUCUUUUGGCUUUAGCCAUUUGAGGAAAGCAGCGUUUGCUGCGCUGAAAGAUGAGUCUGCGCACUAUUAGCUAGUUGGUGGGGUAAGAGCCUACCAAGGCGACGAUAGUUAGCCGACCUGAGAGGGUGAUC
rnacentral:rRNA from 1 species